UACGGAGGAUCCAAGCGUUAUCCGGAUUUAUUGGGCGUAAAGGGUGCGUAGGCGGUCUGAUAAGUCAUCUGUGAAAUCUAUGGGCUCAACCCAUAGUCUGCAGGCGAAACUGUCGGGCUUGAGUGUGGGAGAGGAAAGUGGAAUUCCCGGUGUAGCAGUGAAAUGCGUAGAGAUCGGGAGGAACACCAGUGGCGAAGGCGGCCUUCUGGACCAGUACUGACGCUCAUGCACGAAAGCGUGGGGAGCAAACAGG
rnacentral:rRNA from 1 species